rnacentral:rRNA from 1 species
UACGGAGGGGGCUAGCGUUGUUCGGAAUUACUGGGCGUAAAGCGCACGUAGGCGGCUUUGUAAGUUAGAGGUGAAAGCCCGGGGCUCAACUCCGGAAUUGCCUUUAAGACUGCAUCGCCAGAAUUGUGGGGAGGUAAGUGGAAUUCCGAGUGUAGAGGUGAAAUUCGUAGAUAUUCGGAAGAACACCAGUGGCGAAGGCGACUUACUGGACACAUAUUGACGCUGAGGUGCGAAAGCGUGGGGAGCGAACAGG